UACGGAGGGUGCAAGCGUUAUCCGGAUUCACUGGGUUUAAAGGGUGCGUAGGUGGGCAGGUAAGUCAGUGGUGAAAUCUCCGGGCUUAACCUGGGAACUGCAGUCGAUACUGGUGAACUAGAGUGCGGUAGAGGGUGGCGGAACUCCGGGUGUAGCGGUGAAAUUCGUAGAUAUUCGCAAGAACACCAGUGGCGAAGGCGGCUCACUGGCCCGUUACUGACGCUGAGGCACGAAAGCGUGGGGAGCAAACAGG
rnacentral:rRNA from 1 species